rnacentral:rRNA from 1 species
CUAUUCCCUAAGAUUAACCCAUGCAUGUUUUUGACAUUUGAAAAAUGGACUGCUCAGUAAUACUCACUUUAUUUUAUGUAAAUUUUUAAUUAACUACGUUAAAGUGUAGAUAAGAUGUUUACAGUAAGAGUGAGACCUAUCAGCUAGUUGUUAAGGUAAUGGCUUAACAAGGCUGUGACGGGUAACGGUAUUACUUUGUAAUAUUCCGGAGAAGGAGCCUGAGAGACGGCUACUAAGUCUAAGGAUUGCAGCAGGGGCGAAACUUGACCUAUGGAUUUUAUCUGAGGCAGUUAUGGGAAGUAAUAUUAUAUUGUUUCAUAUUUUAAAAGUAUAUGAGGUGAUUAAUUGGAGGGCAAAUCAAGUGCCAGCAGCCGCGGUAAUACUUGUUCCAAGAGUGUGUAUGAUGAUUGAUGCAGUUAAAAAGUCCGUAGUUUAUUUUU